UUAGAGGUCAGAAUCCACUAAUACUCGU
rnacentral:piRNA from 1 species